GACGAACGCUGGCGGCGUGCUUAACACAUGCAAGUCGAACGGAAAGGCCCUGCUUUUGUGGGGUGCUCGAGUGGCGAACGGGGGAGUAACACGUGAGUAACCUGCCCUUGACUUUGGGAUAACUUCAGGAAACUGGGGCUAAUACCGGAUAGGAGCUCCUGCUGCAUGGUGGGGGUUGGAAAGUUUCGGCGGUUGGGGAUGGACUCGCGGCUUAUCAGCUUGUUGGUGGGGUAGUGGCUUACCAAGGCUUCGACGGGUAGCCGGCCUGAGAGGGUGACCGGCCACAUUGGGACUGAGAUACGGCCCAGACUCCUACGGGAGGCAGCAGUGGGGAAUAUUGCACAAUGGGCGGAAGCCUGAUGCAGCAACGCCGCGUGCGGGAUGACGGCCUUCGGGUUGUAAACCGCUUUCGCCUGUGACGAAGCGUGAGUGACGGUAAUGGGUAAAGAAGCACCGGCUAACUACGUG
rnacentral:rRNA from 1 species